AUUUUUGCUGAUGUGGCAUUUCCACGUCAAUACUCAUGUGGGUCUUACAUGAGCAAAAAUGAUAUGGUGGAUCCCAUAUGAGCGAUGACGUGGAAAUGCCACGUCAGCAAAAAG
rnacentral:pre_miRNA from 1 species